rnacentral:lncRNA from 1 species
AAAGUUUGGGGUCAUUGUGCAGAUCCUGGAAAUGGAAUGAAUUUAUAUUCUAAAUUGUAAUAAGUAAAGUUUUAUUCAUUAAGUUAUGAAUGAAAAAUAUAAAUAGUUUGACGAUAGUAGUAUCGUGGCGGAUCGAAUCCGAGGUUAGAAGGAACCUGGAUUUGGGGGUGUCACAAAGGUUCUACUUGGGUAUUAGAUACCAACUUUGGUUAUCAUAAAUAUAGAUUUAUGAAGAGACCAAGCAGAAGAAGAAAGCUAAACAAGAGACAAGUAAUCCUAUGUGUGGAAAUGAAGCAAAGGUUGUUGCAUCAGCCAUAGGAACUUAUAGUUUAGCACAUCCUACAACCAAGUUUAUUAAGUCAAUAAGUUGUUAUUGUAUUCCAGUUCUUGUUAGAAACAUUAUUUCCAUUUUAUUGUUGGACAAUGAAAUAUUUGGUAUUAUAUUUAAG